rnacentral:lncRNA from 1 species
UUUUUCCUCCUAGCUCAGGCCACCAACGUCACAGCCGGGACUGAGAGAACUGCUGCAUCUGUGGAAACUUCUAUUCUCGUGGGGCAGAGAUUGCACUGUGAAACCCUACCGACACUACCCCGGAAGGGCCUGGCCUCCGAGGUGUCUGCAGCGUGCUGCCUUCGCCGGGGCUUUUCAGAAUGGGCCGGGGCCUCGGGGGUCUUCAUCCCCAAGGAAGCCUCUUGAUUUUUGGCACCGCCUUUGUUUUUGGGCCGGAAGCCGUUGUGCGGCUGUCUUCUGUGUUCGUGGCGGCUGUUGCCCUUUCCCAGUGGCUCGGCUUCAUUCCCACUGCCCUGCGACUUGGCAGGCCCAUUUAGCCUGUUGUUAUGAUACUGUGGAUUAAAUCUCCGUCUUUGGUUAGAAGAUCCAUUCUACCAAAAAAGAAAAGAGAUAAGUAUCAGAUGCCAGCAAGCCACUGAUGACACCAGUAGACAUCAGGAAAACCAAAUCUCUAAGCCACAGUUAUAAGCAAAGAAAAUUUGAAGCCUCUAUUAAAAAAUCAUUCCUUCAACACAUCACUGACCAGGAACGUAAAUGGAUGAGCAGUAAGGACGCAAUGGAUUAAGCUCCUUUACAAGGGAAAGAUUUCUGAACUCCUCAAGGUAAUUGCAGCAAAGCACAUCAUCUGAUCUUGAGAACCCAGCAGCCAUUCAGAGGAGCUCCAACCUACAUCCUCGUGCCAUUCCCCACCUCCCGCCACUGUCAGUGGCUUUGAGCAGCUCCAAUCCAUCUACACCCUCUGGCAAUGGCAGCCUCUUAACAGAAGAGCUCAGUCUGUGCCCUUUGACAAGUUUCUUCACCACCACAAGGCUGCACGUUCCUCUGGUAGCCACACACCUUCUUCGAUCAGGUCAGAAUCUCAGUCUUGGCUUGGGGGCCUCCCCUAGGCCUUAGUUCCUUUA